rnacentral:lncRNA from 1 species
GUCAAUCGCUGCUCUUCGAUUAAAUUCAGUUGGUCGUAACGACUCUGAAUCCAUUCCGCAUCAGUCAACUUGGGGUUUGAGGGUACCAUUUUUCUUUUACUUUUUUUUUUUAUUUUGAUUUUUUUUUUAUUUUGAUUUUGAUUUUGUUUUUUUUUACCCCCUUUGUUUUUUUUUGUAAUGCCCCAGUUUGACUGUUCUGCCGAUUCCCAAGAUACAGC